UGGGCGUAAGGGCUCGCAGGCGGUUUCUUAAGUCUGAUGUGAAAGCCCCCGGCUCAACCGGGGAGGGUCAUUGGAAACUGGGGAACUUGAGUGCAGAAGAGGAGAGUGGAAUUCCACGUGUAGCGGUGAAAUGCGUAGAGAUGUGGAGGAACACCAGUGGCGAAGGCGACUCUCUGGUCUGUAACUGACGCUGAGGAGCGAAAGCGUGGGGAGCGAACAGGAUUAAAUACCCUGGUAGUCCACGCCGUAGACGAUGAGUGCUAAAUGUUAGGAGGUUUCCCCCC
rnacentral:rRNA from 1 species